ACACACAUCCCCGGGGAACUUGUAAAAAUGCAGUGUCUAAUUCAGUAGGUCCGGGAUUGGGCCUGAGACUGCAUUUCUAACAAGUUCCCAGGGGAUGCUGAC
rnacentral:pre_miRNA from 1 species